rnacentral:lncRNA from 1 species
GGGGCUAUACAGAUGAAUGUAAAAAUUAUUAUUUCAGAUGUGAAUUGUCAUUGGUCAACCUUUUGAGGGCAAUAAUUAUAUUUUAUUCAUCUCCAUACCUCUAGUGCCUACCACCAUAGCCAUCCCACAGACUCAUCUCCAUGGGGAGAUAAGGACCUGGGCACACCUUCCCCUUCCUGGACUUGGAGAUGUUCGCCCAGUUCCUGAAGGCUUCCCACACCCUGUCCUGCUCC